UUUAGCCUGAGGAAAGGCGAUGACCCCGUUAGCAAUGUUUAUUUAGCCCGAGGAAAGGCGAUGACCCCAUUUGCACUGUUUAUUUAGCCCGAGGAAAGGCGAUGAUCCCAUUUGCACUGUUUAUUUAGCCCGAGGAAAGGCGAUGACGUUUAUCUCUGCAGCGCGUGUCGUUAGAAUUCCGAUGAUUUGUUUUUUUCUCGAGGGCUUAAUUUUCAGGGCGUACUUCUUGGUGCAUGGCGAGGUGAAGCUGUGAUUGAAUUGUCUGAUUAGAGUUUGCAUCAUUGUUACUACUAUUAUUAUUAUUAUUAUUUUUAAGUGCAACAGUAGGCUAAGAAUGUGUAAUAGCGUCUAUCAUGCAACGCUUAUGUGAGGGCAGCAGACUGAGCAGCGACGAUUCAUUAUUUAUAUACACUGACAUUUAAUUAUUGGGUGCAUUGAUAGCCCCUUAAUCCCCUCCCUCCCCUCACUUUAACCUCCACCCCUGUGCCUCCCCCUUCACUUUCCUUCCUUUCACACCCUCCCUUCCCUUUCUUUCUCUUUACAUUACCCCUUCCCUUUCCUUCUCUAUCCACUUCCCCCUUCCCUUUACCCCCACCCCUGUGCCUCUUCCCCUCCUUUUCCCUCCCUCUCCCCCUUCCCUUUCCUUAGCUCCUACAUUAAUUAUUUAGCGGCAGACUAUUAUUUGAGCUUCCUCUUGUCCCCCACCCCCCCACCCCCCUUCCCUCCCUCUCUCCCCUAUGUUAAGAACUCUAAAGGUAUCUGGGAGUGCCAUUGUGUGUGCAGACAGAGAGAUAGAAGGAAAGACAGACAGAGAGAGAGUGAGUGAUAAAAAGGCUUAAGGGACAAAGAUAAAAAAGGAGAAAAGGAAGGAAUGAUGAGAGAGAGAGAGAGAGAGAGAGAGAGAGACUAACAUUCCUCGCUCGGAUAAAAAUGAAAAAAAAAGCGUUGGUAUUUUUUCCGAACUUGGCUUCUCGCGGUACAAAAUGUUUACACUUGUCCGGCAGUUCUGUUUUGUAGAUGACGUUCUCUGUUUGAACCCGUCAUUUUCAUCAUUAUUAUUACUACUACGGACAUUAGCCUUACAUGUUGUCAUCUCAUCACAUCUAAUUUCUGUUUGGUGUGUGUGUGUGUGUGUGUGUGUGUACGCUAAGUUAAGCAUAGACCAGUAUUGUGUAUGUAUGAUCAGUAGUCUUUGAUGAUAAAAAUGUGUGUGUGUGUGUGUGUUCCUAUAUAUAUUUAUUAGGAAAUGUGUGCGUAUGUGUGUAAGCGUGUGUAUGUGUGUGUGUGUAUUUUGAUGAUUUCUGUAAAGCUCAACCAAACCAACCUAUCCCAGCAAACACAUACAAACUCACACACACACACACACACACACACACACACACACACACACACACACACACAGAUGUACAUAGGUUAGUGUAACUUGAGGUAUAUCUAUUUUUUGAUAAUUUUCCAUAUCGUGAAUGUACACCUUUCAAGAGGGUGGGGGUCUGAGUGCACAUGGGGGCUAUGUGUGUACAGUGGCUAUGUGCGUUUAGUGGCCAUGUGCAUCUGGUGGCCGUGUGUACAUAGCCUCCACCCGAUACCACUCACUGCCAAGUUGAAAUAUGUGGAUUGCUAAUUGUGUGUGUGCGAUGGUGCAGUAAACCCUCGCUUUUAUGGACCUCGAUAUAAUGAAUUUUGGCUUCGAUCUUUUUGAGCCAGUCUGAUUUGAUGUAAUUAAUUUUGGCUUUGAGAAUCUUUUUGAGCCAGUCCGAUUCGAUAUAAUUAAUUUUGGCUUUGAGAAUCUUUUUGAGCCAGUCCGAUUCAAUAUAAUUAAUUUUGGCUUUGAUAAUAUUUUUGAGCCAGUCCGAUUCAAUAUAAUUAAUUUUGACUUUGAUAGUCUUUUUGAGCCAGUCUGAUUCAAUAUAAUUAAUUUUGGGUUUGAGAAUCUUUUUGAGCCAGUCCGAUGUAUGUGGAGAUUUACAGAACAAGUGAAGGUUUCAAUUCAGUGGUGGGCUGACUGAACACGUACACACAUGUUGGUCAGCAGCAGUGAACACAAAGCUGACAGGGCGGUGAUCAUCUUGUCCAUCAAGCUUUGCCCACCCAACUGUAAACACCUCAUCCUUCCGUGCCUCAAGUUUCAUCCAAAAUUAACAAACUAUAUGCGGAUAAUUGAAAAUAGGGAACGUUCAGCUUUCAGUUUGUCGUAUAUGAGAAGUUCGGAUACCUCGGAUUGUCGUAUACGAGAGUUCGGAUACAUCGGAUUUUCAGAUAUAUCACCACCCCCUACCCCCAUAUUGGUUUAUUAAUUAAGCGAGGGUUGACUGUAUGUGUGUGUAUGGAAGGAUAAUUGUGUUUUUUAGUCAGGUCCAUGCAUGCACACAUAUGUAGCUCAUGUACGCCUGUAGUUAUGGUGUCCUUACCUUGCACAUGUGUACCCAUGGCGUGUGAUGCUCUAGGUCAGUCAAGUGUACGUGUGUGGGUGCCAGGUGUACACAUGUGCGCAUCAAAGUGUGCAUGUGUGUGCGUUUCCUUGGGUACAAUAGACACAUUUUUAUACCAAAGUUUUAUUCUUAUUCCUUGACAAAGGGUGACAGGUGGUGGUGGUGGUAGAGGUGGCAGUAAUAGACUAGUAGUACUAUCUUCCUCUCUCCUAUUAGACAAUUGUGGUAGUGGCAGUAGUUGUGGUGGUGCUAUAGUCCAUUCACCCGUCGCCCAGCACACUCGCCUAGGUCCAGAAAACAUUCAUAUUUCUUUCCGUGGUUCAUCUGUUACAUAAGAUUGGGAAAUUUGUUGACAUCAUUGAAUCAAGCAAUGGUUGUACAAUUGUAACACUAUUUUCAAAACUCUAUAGGGUUAAAAAAGGUAAUUAUGAUGGUCAGAAUUACACAAUGUUUUUACCACUUUAUUUAAAAAUUGCAUUCUAGUUUCACAAUUACUCCAUCUGUCAACAAAAUUUGCCUCUUGUAUAACAGAUGAGCUAAGUAAAGAAAUAUGAACACCGUAUGAAGCUAAGCAAGUGUGUUGGCGACAAAGACAUCAAGGGUCGUAUUACAAGACACAUCGCCGCCCAAGAACACAUAUUUGACAAGGCUUUCGUAGGAGUUGUGGGCAUUUCCAGGGGUAGUUUUAUGACCCUGGUGAUAGUGUGAGUCUUCUUCUGUACCAUAAACCUGAAGAAACACAUAUUUGACAAGGCUUUCGUAGGAGUUGUGGGCAUUUCCAGGGGUAGUUUUAUGACCCUGGUGAUAGUGUGAGUCUUCUGUACCAUAAACCUGAAGAAACACUCAUUAGAACCCAAAUGACCCCCUCUUGGGCUUUUAAAAAUAGCUGAUGUGAGAAGCGAGUGUGUCUUAUAAUACCAACCCAAAUGUCCCGGCAGCUCACAACCAAUCAGCAGCUUCCUUACUUACUCGGCAAGGAGCCAGCUGAAGUGAAUGAACUGUAUACCACACUUAGGUUGGAUCCCUCCCAGCAGUGGCUUGACCACUAGCCGAGAAAGUAAGGACACGGCUAAUCAGUUGUUGGCAGACGGGGCAUCAGUUAUCUGUCGCCCAACACAAUAAUUUCAGAACUUCAUAUAUUUUUAUGUGGCUAAUCUGUUACACAAGAUAGGUAGAGUACAAGGUAAUUAUGGCAAGUAGAAACCAGAGAAUAACAUUUGUGGGUCAUACUUAUUACAAAUCCUCUUAUAUUGCAGUCCAUCUGAAAUCUGAAAGUACCAUCAUAUUUAGGAGAAUUAUUGACACAAAAAUUACUUUCUUCUAAAAUUGGUUCCAUAAUGGCUGCAAAUAGAUAAAAAGUAAACAUUUAUAAACAUGUUUUCUCUGACUUCUACUCAUUAUAAGGACUGUCUCUUUAACCAGUUUUAUAAAAGGUGUUAAGUUGUAUUCAAUGGCGUAUCUUGUGUAACGGAUGAGUUAAGUAAAUAUGAAUAUUUUCUGAAAGUAGGCCCAGCCACCAACAGCUAAUCACUUCACUUACUCUGCUAGGAGGCAGGGAUCCAGUUUAGAGGUGAAUGAACUGUAAUAGUAGUUUAUAUCCUUUCCUUUCUUGUCUUCCUCAUACUCUUCUCUUCUUUGCCGUUGUACAUAUGCUCCUCCUCUUAUUUUUCUUCUCCAUAUUUUUCAGUUUCUUUUCUUCUUAUUUUUUAGUUUCUUUUCUUCUCCUCUUCUUAUUUUUCAGUUUCUUUUCUUCUCUUCUUAUUUUUCAGUUUCUUUUCUUCUGCUCUUCUUAUUUUUUAGCUUCUUUUCUUCUCCUUUUCUUAUAUUUUAGUUUCUUUUCUUCUCCUUAUUUUUUAGUUUCUUUUCUUCUCUUCUUAUUUUCCAGUUUCUUUUCUUCUCCUCUUCUUAUUUUUCAGUUUCUUUUCUUCUGCUCUUCUUAAAUAGCGUGUACCAAGAUGAAACUGACUGAUGCAACAAAGGGAGGUGAAGGAGAGGGAAGGUGAGUAGAAGUGACCAAAAGGAAGGUAGGUGAGAGAGAGGAAUGAAGGAAGGUAACUGAUAGAGGAAAGAUAGAACGCCAAAAAGGAAAAAAAGAAAAACGGCACACUUGAAAAACUAAACCUGGCACAAACUGAUCUUUAAAUACACUCAUGCACACAGUUACCCCUUGACAGGUAGAAAUGGUGGUGGUAAUAGUAGUAAAGGGAGGCCAGAAGAGUGUGUGGUAGUGGUUGUAGUAGUAGCAGAGGGAGGGCAGAAGACAUAGUGGUGUGGUGGUGGUAGUAGUAGUAGUAGUAGUAGUAGUAGUAGUAGUAGUAGUAGUAGUAGUAGUAGUAAAAAAACUAGAAAGAAUAGAGAAGAGAUAGAAAGAGUAGAUUAGUAGUAAUAGAACCAAAAAUGUCAUGAAUUGAAAUGGACAGCAAUAGUAACAGCAGAAAUAGUAAUAACAAAGGCAGAAAUAGAAGUGGUAGUAGUAGAAAGAAGGAAAAAUGCUUAAAUAGUAGUAAACCGCAGAAAUCAAAGUAGUGGUAGAAAGUAAUAGUCAGAAAUAUUAGUAAUAGUAAUGCCUCAGCUGGGCACCACAGACACAAACUAUGGCAGCAUCAGUUUCAUUUUAUGCCAUCAGAGACUUAUAUUAAUUUUAUACCGUAUGCCAUCAGAGGUUUAGAUGAAGUUCUUUUUCGUAAUCGAGGUUAUAUGAAGUUCUUUUUCGUAAUCGAGGUUAUAUGAAGUUCUUUUUCGUAAUCGAGGUUAUAUGAAGUUCUUUUUCGUAAUCGAGGUUAUAUGAAGUUCUUUUUCGUAAUCGAGGUUAUAUGAAGUUCUUUUUCGUAAUCGAGGUUAUAUGAAGUUCUUUUUCGUAAUCGAGGUUAUAUGAAGUUCUUUUUCGUAAU